ACUCCUACGGGAGGCAGCAGUGGGGAAUAUUGGACAAUGGGCGCAAGCCUGAUCCAGCCAUGCCGCGUGAGUGAUGAAGGCCCUAGGGUUGUAAAGCUCUUUCACCGGUGAAGAUAAUGACGGUAACCGGAGAAGAAGCCCCGGCUAACUUCGUGCCAGCAGCCGCGGUAAUACGAAGGGGGCUAGCGUUGUUCGGAUUUACUGGGCGUAAAGCGCACGUAGGCGGACUAUUAAGUCAGGGGUGAAAUCCCGGGGCUCAACCCCGGAACUGCCUUUGAUACUGGUAGUCUUGAGUUCGAGAGAGGUGAGUGGAAGUCCGAGUGUAGAGGUGAAAUUCGUAGAUAUUCGGAGGAACACCAGUGGCGAAGGCGGCUCACUGGCUCGAUACUGACGCUGAGGUGCGAAAGCGUGGGGAGCAAACAGGAUUAGAAACCCCUGUAGUCCCAUGA
rnacentral:rRNA from 1 species